GACGAACGCUGGCGGCGUGCUUAACACAUGCAAGUCGAACGGAAAGGCCCUGCUUUUGUGGGGUGCUCGAGUGGCGAACGGGUGAGUAACACGUGAGUAACCUGCCCAUGACUUUGGGAUAACUUCAGGAAACUGGGGCUAAUACCGGAUAGGAGCUCCUGCUGCAUGGGGGGGGUUGGAAAGUUUCGGCGGUUGGGGAUGGACUCGCGGCUUAUCAGCUUGUUGGUGGGGUAGUGGCUUACCAAGGCUUUGACGGGUAGCCGGCCUGAGAGGGUGACCGGCCACAUUGGGACUGAGAUACGGCCCAGACUCCUACGGUAGGCAGCAGUGGGGAAUAUUGCACAAUGGGCGGAAGCCUGAUGCAGCAACGCCGCGUGCGGGAUGACGGCCUUCGGGUUGUAAACCGCUUUCGCCUGUGACGAAGCGUGAGUGACGGUAAUGGGUAAAGAAGCACCGGCUAACUACGUG
rnacentral:rRNA from 1 species